GCCGCCUCCAGCCCUUUCUGUUGAGAGUGUAGCCUCUCCCCUUCCUACUGGAUUUCCCGUUUGGGCUCAAUGAAGCUGCUUACAGACUACGGUUCACGUCUGUCAAAUUUAGCAAACGGCGAUGUGUAUAAGCAGAUAGAAUCAAGACCAAGGGAAACAAAAUCCCACUCGGCAACCCCCACGCAUCCCUCUCAGCGCCCGGAUCUGGUCUGAAAGAUCUGUUCCCAGGUUUUUGCCAUCAUCAGGAGUAUGAUACACACACACACAGAGAAACCACAUAGGCUAAGCCUGGGCCCUCUCUGCCCGUGAACUCUCUAUCCACAGAGUUUAACAGGGAGCCAACUUGCAAAGCAAAAACAUGGUUUUCAGAGUUUCAGCCCCAGCAUCAUAAGCAAAGCAUCAAAGGGAAAACGGUCCUGAUGACUUUGCCCAGUUUUUAAACUUGGAAUUGUCUUACAUGGAACUGAAAAGCCCUCGCACACAAGGAGAUUAAUCUCACGGUGUUGAAACUUUUGGAAACCUGGCAUGGAAUUUUCUUCGUAGAUUUGAAAUUCAACUAAGAGAGAUCUACAAUUAGUAAACAAAUAUGGGGAAGUGUUCAACCUCAUUAGCAAUCCAAGAUAUACAAAUCAGAGCAGCAAUAAGAUAACCUUAAUAGUUUGGAAUAGUGCUGGUUUCUAGUGCUGGCUGCCUUGCUGUUACUUCUACUUUGAAAUGUUGCUGGAGGUAGUACAAUUGAGACAAACCCUAUAAAAAAUAAUUUGGCAAUGCAUUUCAAGAACCACAAAAUAUCCUGGAUCUGUAUUUUUUGAAAAUGAAAUUGGAAUCUACAAAAUAAGAAAAAAACUAUAUGCAUAAGAGUUUUAGAUAGUCAGUGUACCUGGAACUGCUGUUAAUUAGUUCAGUAGAUUGUCUGAGGUUUUGUGUCCCUUAGACGCAGAGCCUGCGAUGGGGAUCAUUGUGCAGUGAUUUCGUGAGAGUGCUUGCAGGUAAAACCUAGGAGUGAGUGAGGGGUCCAGGAUGGGGCUGAGGAAGAAACGAGGUGAAAAUGAGGGUUCAGAUGAGAUCUAGUUUCAGCCCAAGCCCAGGGGGAACUCUGGAGUGUGAAGAGCCCCAUAACAUUGUCCCACCUUGAACGAAGGGCCUGGCCUUUUGCACAGUGCCAGUCUUUGGAGGAGCAUCAUCUCUAGGGGGAGAGUGUAAUCUUUCCUGCAUUUCCAGGUGAGGCAGCUCCUGUCAACCCUGGAGAAGAGUUCAGUUCAGAGCACCUGGAGGAUGGACCCACUGGCCUGGUAAUGGAGGUCUGCACUCCUCACCUCACCGGAUUGGAGAAUAUGAUUGAUGUGUAGAACCCAGUUCAAUUUAUGAAGUCUAGUGUUCACCCAGGGCAGAUCUCCUGAACUUCAGUUAGGUUUACCAGCCUAACCUUAUCCCUUCGUCUUCUGGGAACAGCGUGCCCCUUUAUCUGAAAAUUGCUUCUUCCAGCGGGAGCUGCUAGAUUGUUUCUCCAAUAUAUCCCAUCUCCUUCUCUCCACUCUGCCUUCUACCACCACUUGGCCGUAGAUGAAAACCAGAAACAAAAAGGAGACCUUGGGAAUUUUGAAGAGAAAUUGGGAGGAAUCUUAAAGCUAGCAGGAGUGGCCAGUCUUCUGCCAAGUUCAUUCAGAAGAGUUUUUAAGUGGAAAAAGAAAAAGUAUUUGCCCAUUUGAGAACUUUUUUUGAGAAGUCUUUUAAAUUGAUGUCUUUUUACUAAAGACUUCCUGUUUAAACCAGAUACUCUUAUUUCUACCUACACUUUAGAAAUGAGUGAUAAAUAUGCAAAUUCAAAAGUAAUAAAUGAAAAUCGCUGAGGUUUUUUCCACCUAAAGCCUUAAAAAUAUUCAAGAGAUGAAGGCAUUGAACACAGCCUGAGAUGACAGAGAAGCACAAAAAUUCAGGAAGACCUGAUGUGGCCAAGUGCUUAUGUUCUAGUUCAGAUCCCUGUUCUACCACUGAACGUCUGUGACUUUGGAUAAGAUCUUCCCAAGCCUCAGUUUCUUCAACGAUCUAAUGGGAGUGGUAUUUCUUUCCUCCCUGGGCAGCGUGGUGGUGCAGAGGGCAGGGAGGUCUGUCUUUUAGGUUCUCAAGUCCGACCGCCUGGCUUUCAACGUUGACUUCGCCUCACACUAGCUGUGUGACCUUAGGCAAUUAGCCCCUCUGGCCUCAGUUUCCUUUCCUGAAAAAGGAACAUAAUAAGAGUACUUACCUUCCGGGGGUGACUGAGUCAAUACCACUGAAAUGCUUAGAAGAAUACUUGACACACAGAAAGCAUCAAAACAACAUUGGCUGCUAAUUUGU